rnacentral:rRNA from 1 species
AACGAACGCUGGCGGCAGGCCUAACACAUGCAAGUCGAGCGCCCCGCCAGGGGAGCGGCGGACGGGUGAGUAACGCGUGGGAAUAUGCCCUUUGCUACGGAAUAGUCUCGGGAAACUGGGGGUAAUACCGUAUACGCCCUUUGGGGGAAAGAUUUAUCGGCGAAGGAUUAGCCCGCGUUGGAUUAGGUAGUUGGUGGGGUAAUGGCCUACCAAGCCGACGAUCCAUAGCUGGUUUGAGAGGAUGAUCAGCCACACUGGGACUGAGACACGGCCCAGACUCCUACGGGAAGCAGCAGUGGGGAAUCUUAGACAAUGGGGGCAACCCUGAUCUAGCCAUGCCGCGUGAGUGAUGAAGGCCUUAGGGUUGUAAAGCUCUUUCAGCUGGGAAGAUAAUGACGGUACCAGCAGAAGAAGCCCCGGCUAACUCCGUG